rnacentral:lncRNA from 1 species
UUAUUAUUCUUAUUUCUUUUAUUUUAGACAUUUCUAAAAGAAAGUUUCCAUGAAGCAAGUCUUGAUCCAACAUAUUGCAAUUAUGUAGUAGGUGGAAGAAUAGCAUACCUGUGUUCUGUUCUUGUGGAAGAUACUGCUGUUGUUUUCUGUGGUCCAGGCCCAAGAAUUCUGGAGGCAGUUGAUUUAGAUUUAUGAGAUGCUGUUCCUGCCGAAGAUAGCUCCAACUUAUUUAAUGAAACUUAACUUCAUUCUUCCUGAGAAUGGCAUCAACUGGAAGUCGUUGGUGGCAACCAUCAGGUUUCUUUGAAGAUGCCUGCAUUAGAUGAUGACAUUUCUAUUGAUGGUUCUGAAAUCAAUGCAUUUGAGUUAUUGGAUGAUUUGAGAGCAAGGAACUUGAUCCUACAAACUGGUGGUUUGGGCCAUACUCUGAGGUGAACUGUUGUUGGAAUGGGAAGGUCGUCAAGCUCGUAUCGUCCGCCCAGAUGUGUGUAAACUGUCAAUGGCGCCCUACACAUGAUUUGAUCGUGUAAUGAUGAUGAGGCGUGAUCUUACCAAAUCAGGUGCUCCCAUUGGUCCACCUAGCAAUGGCUUCUUAUCCAUCAUUCCAGCAUUUUUGCAGUCACCAUCUUUUUCUGAAGACCAACACAUCAUAGAAAGAAUAAAGGAAAACAUAAAAAGGCAACGAAAACUGCUGUCAAACACUUACUGUGGUUAAGAGAAAAAAAGAAAGCUUUUCUUUCCCCCCCCAAAAAAAAAAACUUUCUGAAAAGUGCAUUUUAGAAGAAGAGGCGAUUUCUGUGCAGUGUUGUGUUCUUUCAUUGUGCAGGAACGUGAACCUUCAGACCAAUACCAGAAAAUGUAUUACAAAUUCACGAACUGAAGUGUAAAAAAAUGUAUGUUUUGGGGUAGGGUAUGAAUAAUUCUGAAAUUUGCUUAUAAUUCAAAGAAAGCCAGUGAAGUGACACCAUGGACAAUUUUUUGAGAGCUUUUAGAUAGAAUUUAUCAAAACAUGUUAAAUGGUGAAGAGUAAAAUUUAUUGCAACAUCUAAACUCAUUUUUUAAUUACAGUACUGAACACGAAAUUUGCUGUCAAUGUACAGCUGUUCUUAGUUCUAUCUAUAAAAGGUGAAAGUACCAUUCCUGAAUACUUGGGAUUUUAGAGAAAUAAUCCACAAAACCUCUACUAUGUUUCUUCCCUACUUUACAAAACUUUGUUAUUGUAUAUUAAUCUAACACAAAAAUUGUUUAAGAAAUUUAUUUAUUCAUAAUGAAGCGAUACACAGAUUGAAGUGUGUCAAAAACUAUUUAAAGUAUAUUUAUUUUAUUAAUAACAAAUUCUAUGUUUUGUGGAAUACAAUCAUUAGAGUCAUAGUUUGCUUAUUACAAAUGGCAUCACACAGCUGCUUCAAAAACUACUUAGUUGUAGAUUGAAAAUUAUUUGAAAACAAAGGGAUUGUAUAUAUUACAUAUAUAGUAUGCCCAUAUUAUACUUAUAAAUUAUAUUAAUUCAGACAUUCAUUGAGUUAAAAGUACAUGAGAAUAUAUCUUAUUCAGUUCUACUUUUAAAAUCUUUGCUGGCAAAACUGAUUCAAAUUAAUGAAUUAAAUCUGUUUUGCGAGACCAUUUUGUUUAAUGUAAUUUCUUACUUAUGUAUUGUACUAAAGCUGUUCCCCUAAAAAAAUACUGUUAUGCUUAUGAUGCUGAAUCAUAUUAUUUGCAAUAAUAUUAUUAUUACUAAUGUAGAAAGAUAUUUUUAUGUAUGUAUAUACGUGUGUGACGAAGAAACACACCUUUGUUGAAAUGCUUCAUAACACACACUGCUGUUUUGUCAGUUUGUAGUAAUAUAUGCUUGAAUGUUAAUGUUUGACCAAUGUAUGAAAAUGUAAAUCUUACCAAUGUAUGGAAAUAUUUAAAUUGUUGGAUAUAAAUGAAAGGACCACUUUGGUUCACAAAAUGCUACAGCAGAAAAAAAAAUUGUGACUUGCUUUAGUUUUUCUUAUUUUUGUGCCCAGUUGGAAUAGGUGGCACUAUAUGGGUGCUAUGAUUCCGUAGUAUGUUGUAUUAUUAUGGUUACUAUUUUAUUACAAAAACCGUUAAUGAUUAUUUUUGCAGCAGCACACAAUAAAGCAUUUGCUGUAUUAGAUGUGAACAAAA